UGCAGUCGAGCGAACAGACGAGGAGCUUGCUCCUCUGACGUUAGCGGCGGACGGGUGAGUAACACGUGGAUAACCUACCUAUAAGACUGGGAUAACUUCGGGAAACCGGAGCUAAUACCGGAUAAUAUAUUGAACCGCAUGGUUCAAUAGUGAAAGACGGUUUUGCUGUCACUUAUAGAUGGAUCCGCGCCGCAUUAGCUAGUUGGUAAGGUAACGGCUUACCAAGGCAACGAUGCGUAGCCGACCUGAGAGGGUGAUCGGCCACACUGGAACUGAGACACGGUCCAGACUCCUACGGGAGGCAGCAGUAGGGAAUCUUCCGCAAUGGGCGAAAGCCUGACGGAGCAACGCCGCGUGAGUGAUGAAGGUCUUCGGAUCGUAAAACUCUGUUAUUAGGGAAGAACAAAUGUGUAAGUAACUAUGCACGUCUUGACGGUACCUAAUCAGAAAGCCACGGCUAACUACGUGCCAGCAGCCGCCGGGUAAUAA
rnacentral:rRNA from 1 species